rnacentral:rRNA from 1 species
GACGAACGCUGGCGGCGUGCUUAACACAUGCAAGUCGAACGGGCCUUGUCCCCUUUUUUUUGGGGGUGGGGUUAGUGGCGACCGGGUGAGUAACACGUGAGUAACCUGCCCCUCACUUCUGGAUAACCGCUUGAAAGGGUGGCUAAUACGGGGUGUUCUGGCCUGCUCGCAUGGGUGGGUUUGGAAAGUUUCGACCGGUUUUGGUUGUUUUGGUGGGGGAUGGGCUCGCGGCCUAUCAGCUUGUUGGGGGGGUGAUGGCCUGCCAAGGCUUUGACGGGUAGCCGGCCUGAGAGGGUGGGCGGUCACACUGGGACUGAGACACGGCCCAGACUCCUACGGGAGGCAGCAGUGGGGAAUAUUGCACAAUGGGCGCAAGCCUGAUGCAGCGACGCCGCGUGAGGGAUGGAGGCCUUCGGGUUGUGAACCUCUUUCGCCAGUGAAGAAGGUCCUGCUCUUUGUGGUGGGGUUGACGGUAGCUGGGUUAAUGAAGCGCCGGCUAACUACGUG